rnacentral:ribozyme from 1 species
UCUUUUUCUUUUUCUUUUUCUUUUUCUUUGGAUUUCUUUUUCUUCUUUUUGUCGUCCUUACUGGAAACAUCAAAAGAAGGGAGAGAAUCAAAAGAAGAGAGAGUGGGGUCAUCGAAAGAACAAGUCAUGGA